rnacentral:rRNA from 1 species
AGCCAGACUCCUACGGGAGGCAGCAGUGGGGAAUAUUGCACAAUGGGGGAAACCCUGAUGCAGCGACGCCGCGUGAGUGAAGAAGUAUUUCGGUAUGUAAAGCUCUAUCAGCAGGGAAGAAAAUGACGGUACCUGACCAAGAAGCCCCGGCUAACUACGUGCCAGCAGCCGCGGUAAUACGUAGGGGGCAAGCGUUAUCCGGAUUUACUGGGUGUAAAGGGAGCGUAGACGGUGAUGCAAGUCAGAAGUGAAAGCCCGGGGCUCAACUCCGGGACUGCUUUUGAAACUGUGUAGCUGGAGUGCAGGAGAGGUAAGCGGAAUUCCUAGUGUAGCGGUGAAAUGCGUAGAUAUUAGGAGGAACACCAGUGGCGAAGGCGGCUUACUGGACUGUAACUGACGUUGAGGCUCGAAAGCGUGGGGAGCAAACAGGAUUAGAUACACCCGUAC